rfam:Salmo salar isolate Sally breed double haploid chromosome ssa24, whole genome shotgun sequence.
UGCAUUCACUACUGUAAGUCACUCUGGAUAAGAGCGUCUGCUAAAUGUUAAGUG